GGACUUUGCAUGCUACAAUCUUCCUUAGAUCCAACCAAGGUCAAUCUCGGUCGAUGCAAUCAAUCUCAACCAUGGGACUACACUACUGACAACACUUUGAAACUUAAAAACGUACCUCUCUGCUUGGCGAACACCGGACCGAACGCACCGGUUAAGCUCAGUGAGACGAGUUGCUCGAUCCCUAGUUUGUCGCAAUGGCAACCCAUCUCAGCCUCGAAUAUGCUCUUAGCUGCAAAGUCAACCAAUAACUCGCUUUGUCUUGACGUAGAUGGAGACAAUAACGUCGUGGCUACCAACUGCAAGUGUGUGAACGGCGAAGACAGCUCGUGUGACCCGAUGAGCCAGUGGUUUAAGAUCGUUAAAGUCAAUAAAGCAAAUGAGGAUGUAUGAUCAUUAACAAUUGAUCAAGUAACUCAUGAAGUUUGUUUACAUGUUAUUUUCCGUUGAAGUUUCUAAUAAAGACUAUUUCGUUAUAAUGCGUGAUUAUUGUUUCUUUUACCAAUUUGAUCAACAUGAUAACAUUUGAAUAUUUUUGAUUGCCAUCUUAGCAUCAUAGCAUGGUAUUAGGAUCGGAAAAAAAAUCUUAAGGCAUAAUCCCCAAACAAACAAACAAUUUAUCCAGAAAAAAAAAAACAAUUUUUCCUACAAAAUAUGAAAUUUCGAAGAAUCAUCACUUUCUUUAUUAAAGGAAGAAUAAUCAUAGGGAUAGGCGCAUAGCUAGACUUUAGACAAAGCUUAAUAAGAAAAACAUUAAAACAAAAAGACACAAUCAAAUAUAAACUAAUCACAUGACCAUUCCACUUAUUACAAAACUAAUAAUAAACUGGAAGUUGUCUGAACUACACAGCAUACGUAUAUAUACAUGUUGGCAGUAAAAGGAGGUUAAAUGAAACAGAGGGACCAAUGGAAAGAUUCUUCUUCCUCUCUGUCUUUCUUCUUCUUCUUCUUCCUCUGUUCUUCAUCAUCGACAUCACUUUCGCCUUCCCUCUCUCCACCGACUCACGCUGGAUCGUCGACGACGGCAACAAAGGACGGCGAGUGAAGCUCACGUGCGUCAACUGGCCGUCGCAUCUUGAAACUGCGGUUGCGGAAGGUUUAAGCAAGCAGCCUUUGGAUUCGAUCGGGGCCAAGAUCGUUUCAAUGGGGUUCAACUGCGUUAGAUUGACUUGGCCUCUCUACUUAGCCACCGACGAAUCCUUCUCUGGGAUUAUGACUGUGAGGCAAUCUCUUCGCAAGCUUGGUCUUCUUGAAGCUAUCUCUGGUUUUCAAGCUAAUAAUCCAUACAUUCUUGAUCUUCCUCUCAUCAAAGCUUUUCAGGUAAUAAAAUAACUAAUAAAUCAAUUUUUUUCUCAGGAAAAUUUUUUGACCCUUUAUUCAUAAUACAUUUUCAGAAAGGGUUGACUUUUUAUCCUUCUUGAUCCAAGAAUAGUAUGGAGGUUAGAGAUAAGAAUAGUACUUUUUCUUUGAGACUUGUCUUGCAAGAAAGAUCUUGUCUGAAACCUAUCUCUGAGUUUCAAUAUUUUAAUGUCUGCUUAGUCUUCUCUUCAAUAUUUUUCUGAUUACUGUUGGGUUUAGCUUGCUUCUAUCCUUCCUUGCCUGAUUAUAUUAGAAGAAAAACAUAAUAAUCAAUUAGGGUUUCUGGAUUAAGAAAGAUGAGAGUUUUGUUGUUGUUGUUGUUGUUCUGAAACAGGAAGUGGUAUCGUCUCUUGGAAAGCAUAGAUUAAUGGUGAUCUUAGACAAUCACAUAAGCCAACCUGGUUGGUGUUGCAAUGACAAUGAUGGAAACGGUUUUUUUGGCGAUAAACAUUUAAACCCUCAGCUUUGGAUCAGAGGAGUAAAGAGAAUGGCAACAAUGUUUGCUAAUGUUUCAUCAAAUGUGGUUGGUAUGAGUCUAAGGAAUGAGCUUAGAGGUCCUAAACAGAACAUCAAAGACUGGUACAAGUACAUGAGAGAAGGCGCUGAAGCAGUCCACUCUGUGAAUCCGAAUAUUCUUGUCAUUGUCUCCGGUUUAAACUACGAGACUGACUUAUCUUUUCUCCGUGACAAACCGUUUGAAGUAAGCUUCAGGAGGAAACUAGUGUUUGAGAUACACUGGUAUGGGUUUUGGAGUUCUUGGGAAGGAGAUAACUUGAACAAGAUUUGCGGGAGAGAAACCGAAAACAUCAUGAAAAUGUCAGGGUUUCUACUGGAGAAAGGGUUUCCGUUGUUAGUGAGCGAGUUUGGGAUUGAUCAAAGAGGAAACAAUGCGAAUGACAAUAGGUUUCUAAGUUGUUUUAUGGCUUUAGCAGCGGAUCUUGACCUAGAUUGGGCGUUAUGGACUCUUGCAGGAAGCUAUUACGUAAGAGAGAAAACUAUUGGAUAUGAUGAAACGUAUGGAGUUUUGGAUUGGAGCUGGUCAAGCAUAAGAAACUCAACAAUUUUGCAGAUGAUUUCUUCUAUACAGUCUCCUUUUAGAGGUACACACCUAGGCAGUGUAGCUCUUAUACAUUUACAUUUUUACGCUAGCUACAAAAAAUACAAUUUAGAUAUUAUAUUACAUGUUUACAUCCAUACAAAACUAAGUUGGUCUUAAAAAUUUUGUUAUAAAUUAAUGUACAUGAAAAUAUGAAACUAAUGGAGUAUAUUUUUUUUUUCAUAGGAAUUAGAGUUGUAGAUUUGUUUAUUUAAAAGAAUAGAAAAUAGUUAGUUUCAAAAAAAAAAUGUAUAGAAAACAGUGGCUACUUGCUACAUGUUUCUUGAUUUUUACACUAGUGAUAAAAAAAUACAUAUAAAACUAAGUUUAGUUUAGAAACUUUGUUACACUUAUGCUUUUAAUUGUGUCAUUAAUCAGACAACUUUGUAAUAUUCAGGACCAGGUCUAAUGGAAACACACCCCAAGAAAAUAAUAUUCCAUCCUUCAACUGGACUUUGCAUCGUGAGGAAGUCAUUGUUCCAACUUAAGCUAGGUUCAUGCGAUCGAUCAGAAAGCUUUAGACUUUCUUCUCAACGAGUUUUGUCACUAGCAGAAGAAAAAAUCUUGUGCUUAAAAGCUUAUGAGAAAGGAAAGUCCGUGAAGCUGCGUCUGUAUUUCUCAGAAUCUUAUUGUUCACGAUGGAAACUUUUGUCUGACAGCUCUCGUCCAUAACAAAGAACGGAGAAUCAGUUUGUCUGGAUGUGGAUUCGGAUAGUAACAACAUUGUAACGAAAAACUGCAAAUGUUUAGAAGGAGAUGCGAGUUGUGAUCCAAAAAGCCAGUGGUUUAAGGUUGUUACUAGCACGAGAAGUCGGUUUAGAGCAAACCCGUUUCUUCAAGUUAGUCCAUACUCGAAGACAUUUCUUAAGGAACCUUUAUCAGUCUUAUAAGGUGUAUUCAAGGAAAAGUUCAAAUAGCUUUUAACAAGAUUGUACACACGUACCGUACCUACCGCAGUGCUGAUUGCAAUUCUUGAUUUGUAUAACAUUUGAUAAAUAUUGCACAUAAUAACACUGUACAUUUUGAAGACAGUGAUUAGCAGAGAUGCGAUCUAUCAUCAGUGACAAUGACGAGUCUUAAUAAGACAAUUCUGCGUAAUUUUUCGUCAGUUUUUUCUUUGAAUUUUCAAAAACAUAAUAUAUUUUUUUUCAAGGUAUUUAGUUUGUGUUUCUUAAAGAUACGUGAACACGACGUUAGCUUGUAGUACAUGUAAAGUUAUGAUAUGGGAUUGUUAACGAGAACUGAAUAUGUUUGUUUCAGAUCUCAACUAGAUUUACACUCAUAACGAAAGGGUUUCAAUAUAUGCUUUAUAACCAGAUACAUCUUUACUAAAAUUAGGUUUUGUUUAGAUUGGAAUAUAUAUUUUUAUAUUGGAGAAAUAUGUGCACUUAAAUUUUAAGUUCGAUUAAAAACGAAAACUAGGGCUAGGCAUAAAAUCCGAAACCCGAAAUCCAAACCAAAUUCAAACCAAAACACCCGAUGCAUACCCGAUCCGAAAUGUAAAAAAUACCUCAAUGGAUUUUAUAGGGUGUUACAAAACAUAUCUGAACUCAAAGUAUUAUUAACCAAAUCCAAACGGAUAACCCGAAAACCUGAAAAAUAUCUGAAGAAACCAAUCUAAAUGUCCAAAUUAAUAUAUAAUAUAAAUAUUUGAAACAUAAAUAUAUACUUCGAAAAUACAAUUUCAUAUUUAUUUGAAUAUGAUAUCUAACAAUAAGUAUUGAAAAUUUAAAUAAACACUUUAAAUACUCAAUUAUAAACGAUUUUGACACAUGGUGAUAUAUUUCUUAUGUUUUACUUUUAAAUUUUACUUUGGAUAUACCCGAACCGAUCUGAUUUAAUCCGAAUCCGAAUGAUAUAAGAUUACUUCGGACAUAUACGAACCGAUCCGAAACCGAAGUGUUAUAUCCGAAUCCGAUCCCUAUUUGUAAAUUUACUAGAAUAGAACCUAGGAAGUGUUAUAAAAUGGAACCAAAAUCCGAUCCCAAACGCCCAGGCCUAACGAAAACUGUUUGAAACCGGUCACUUUUGAACAGCACUUAAUUCAAAUCCAUCUGGCCUUUUAACUAAUUAUGGGCCUCAAUUAACAACUUGGGCUUAUGAAAGGGCAAUGAAUAUUCCAUAUUCUCAAUUCACACUGAAGUCCAAUUUUUAUUUUAAACCAAACCAUCAUCAUCUUGUUCCGACAUUGAUCUGAAUAUCAAAUACAAACUCGGUCGUGAAAAAGGAAAACAAGUUUAGCGAUUCAAAAGUCCGUGAUUAUGGACAAAACAAUAAGAGUACUAUCACAAAAAAAGCAAGGUAGAAAGAUGGGAUACUUCAAUAAUUACCUUUUGUUAUGUUGUCCCUACACAAUUUAAUAUCUUUAUAAUUUGGUCAACUAACUUGGUUUACCAGGACCGGAUCCUCAACCCGAUGUUAGCAAUCUUAUUUUCCACCCGUUAACCGGACUUUGCAUGCUACAAUCUUCCUUAGAUCCAACCAAGGUCAAUCUCGGUCGAUGCAAUCAAUCUCAACCAUGGGACUACACUACUGACAACACUUUGAAACUUAAAAACGUACCUCUCUGCUUGGCGAACACCGGACCGAACGCACCGCUUAAGCUCAGUGAGACGAGUUGCUCGAUCCCUAGUUUGUCGCAAUGGCAACCCAUCUCAGCCUCGAAUAUGCUCUUAGCUGCAAAGUCA
rnacentral:lncRNA from 1 species